UACGGAGGAUCCGAGCGUUAUCCGGAUUUAUUGGGUUUAAAGGGUGCGCAGGCGGGAUGUUAAGUCGGCGGUGAAAUUUUGCAGCUCAACUGUAAAAGUGCCUUCUAUACUGGCUUUCUUGAGUGUGGAUGAAGUAGGCGGAAUUUGUGGUGUAGCGGUGAAAUGCUUAGAUAUCACGAGGAACUCCGAUUGCGCAGGCAGCUUACUAAACCACUACUGACGCUCAUGCACGAAGGCGUGGGGAUCAAACAGGAUUAGAUA
rnacentral:rRNA from 1 species